UAGCAUCGAAAAUAAAAACAGCUUACACUUUUUGGAAAAAGAGACUUGAAAACAGAAAAAAGAAAAGGGAACCAAAAAAAAAUAGGAACAUGUUUAAGUAAUAUUAAGCAAAAAGUGCGCGUUUCUUUUCGUUCAUGUUAGUUUCAUGUUUAUAUUUGUAUUUUAUUACCAGAGCUCUCAUAAUCAUAGACGGCGAUUGCUGAAGCUCGCAACCUGACGACUAACCCGUUUCUCCACUGCCAUGCGAAAGACUUAACAUGAGCAACACAAUACAGAUGAAAACCCAACCAAUACGAAUAAUGGAUGUGUAUUACACUGGGAUGUGAAUACUUUUAUGACAUCAAAAAUUCUGGUGCUGAUCAUAGGUCUUGAAAGUCUCGUGUAGAUACCAAAAGAAAAAUAAUUGAAAUAUCGAUAAAACUUGCUGCAUAUUUAAAUUUUUGUAAUCUAUUUUGGUUAAAUGUUCAAAAUUGCAGAGUGAAAAUAUAAAUGAAA